rnacentral:other from 1 species
CAUUCCACUGCUGCACCGAAGGCACACAUCUUUGGUGGGACUUGGAAUUCUGGAGAACUCCCUUUGUGAAAAACUGGGUGUAAUUCAUUUAAAUUCCAUCUGUCAGUUUUCCACUUUGUUAUGUUUCGGGGCGCAUCAAGAAACC